AGCUACAGCCGUGUGGCGCAUUGGUACACCCGAUCCCUCGAUCUCGGAAGUUAAGUAACGCGACGGUCCGGUCAGUUCUCGGAUGGGGACCAACCAAGAACAACCGGAGUGCUGUAGCUG
rnacentral:rRNA from 1 species